GUCUGCCACCACGUCACCCUGAAUGUGUCCCAUCUCAUCUGAUCUUAGAAGAUAAGCAGGGUCAAGUCCAGUUAGUAUUUGGAUGGAAGUGUGUUCUGAUAAAUUAAUUGUGAUUAAGA
rnacentral:rRNA from 1 species